GAUAAACGCUGGCGGCGUGCCUUAUGCAUGCAAGUCGAACGAUCCUCCGCAAGGGGGAUAGUGGCAGACGGGUGAGUAACGCGUAAGUAACCUAUCCUUGAGUGGGGAAUAACCCCGAGAAAUUGGGGCUAAUACCGCAUGACGCGCUGAGGUUAUUAUCUUGGCGUCAAAGCCGCAAGGCGCUUGAGGUUGGGCUUGCGUCCUAUCAGGUAGUUGGUAGGGUAAUGGCCUACCAAGCCAAUGACGGGUAGCUGGUCUGAGAGGAUAUCCAGCCACACUGGGACUGAGAUACGGCCCAGACUCCUACGGGAGGCAGCAGCAAGGAAUUUUGCGCAAUGGGCGAAAGCCUGACGCAGCAACGCCGCGUGGGUGAAGAAAGGCUUCCGGUCGUAAAGCCCUUUUGUUAGGGAAGAAGUUCUGACGGUACCUAACGAAUAAGCCUCGGCUAACUACGUGCCAGCAGCCGCGGUAAUACGUAAGUGGCGAGCGUUGUUCGGAAUUAUUGGGCGUAAAGGGUUCGUAAGAUGUUUUUUAAGAUUGGUGUGAAAUCCCAAGGCUCAACCUUGGAACUGCAUUGAUGACUGAAAGACUAUAGUAUCGUAGAGGAGAGCGGAAUUCCACGUGUAGCGGUGGAAUGCGUAAAUAUCUGGGAAAAAACCCGACAGCGAAAAGCAGCUCUCUUGGGCGAAACUGACUCUGUAGAACGAAAGCGUGGGGAUCAAACACGAUUAAAUAACCUGGUAAUCACGCUUGUAAAAUUGUAUGCUUGGCCUGAACGGAUCCACCCCGUUCCGAUCGGGAGUUAAAUGUUAAGCAUACCGGCCGGGGG
rnacentral:rRNA from 1 species